UUUCACCCAGAGCGGGACACUCUGAAUACGGAAGCAAGCCGUCGUCAUUUUGUUUUGUUUUCCUUAUCGGAAAUACGCAGCAAAACUGCUUUAAUGCGAGGCCGUUUGUGAUUAAAGACACUUUUUGAGUGCUAACUUUGGAACUUUAAAGCAGGUGCAGCUUCUUCAAGAGAUGGAGGAGUUGUACACUUUAGAAAAGGAGGUCGGGCGUGGUAACUAUGGCGUUGUCUUUGAGGGCCAUAUAGCCAAAACAGGACAGCGGGUGGCUGUGAAGCGUCUGUCCUGCAAGAACGCAGAAUGCAUAGAACUCUACUUGCAGGAGUUGUGGGCCAUGAGAGCCACAGCCCAGAACCAUGCAAAUAUCAUCGCGUUGCACAGCUGCCUCCUGCAGACCGGGAGGAGAAGUUUGAAGCCUUUGAAAAAGGGCAAGUUGCCUCUGCAUCUAGUGGAAAGUGUGCUGAAAGGGACUGUUGUGGGGACAUUGCCACACGGACAGGAGACAGGUUCCCGGUCUAACUCUGGACGGAGAGCCAAGUCUGAGUCCAGACUUCAAGACAGGACCAACACUCUCCCAUCAAACGCUUCAACACCACAAAGGCCUCCAAACAGACCCAGGAAGAGGUCGUCUUGGAGGGAAGACGAGCAGCCCCUGACUUACUCCGCCCUUUGGCUCGUGAUGGAGUACUGUGACGGAGGAGACCUGAAUCACUACCUGCUGUCCAGACCACCCGACGUCCAGCGGAACCACGAUGUGGUGCAGCAGCUCAGCAGUGCUGUGGCCUUCCUGCAUCACCUGGGUAUCAUCCAUCGAGACCUGAAGCCUGACAACGUGCUUGUCAGCAUCAAACCAAACGGCCCUGUUUUUAAGGUGGCAGACUUUGGUCUGAGCAAGAUGAGUGAAGGCCUGCUGGAUGGUGAUAUGACCAUGAAGCAUUUCUCCUCCACCUGCGGCUCAGACUUCUACAUGGCUCCAGAGGUGUGGGGGGGACUGCCCUACUCGGCCCAGGCAGACAUCUUCUCGCUGGGCGUGAUGUUCUGGGCCGUCCUGGAGAGAAUCACCUUCUUGGAAGAAGGAACCACCCAGGAACAACUGGGUGCGUACGUGUGCAAGGGGCGCCGGUUGAUGCCGCUGGGCGAGGCUUUGUGGGAGAACGCCGACCUCCAGCUGUGUAUCCCCAUCAAGUCCAAAAGAGCAACCCCGCUGCCACCGCCUCCCGGCCCGGCAACAUGCGCCCUGCUUUUGCACAUGCUGGCCUCAGACCCGGAUUGGCGGCCCCCCGCCGACCAGCUGGAAUGCGGCAUACGCGCCGCUCUGAGAGAGGACGCCUGCUGACACAAGGAGUCCUAAUGGCCACAGCCGCCACAUGCCAACAUGGCCUGUGGACUGCAGCGUCUUCUCCAGGCGCAGAUGACAAGGCUUUUUAACCCAACCAGCCGGACGUUUCCGAAUGAUUUGUUUGAAACCUCCAAUGUCGCAACGGGAAGUGCAGUGCGAUCUUCAAAGUACAGUGGAACCUCGAUUUACAAACCCCUCUUUUUGCAAACUUAGCCAAAUAUGCCUCUGUCUGCUUCAUUCGUUCAUUUCGUGUCCCGCUGGCAGCCAUUGAGAGAUUGACGACGCGGGCUUCAUACCACAGCAAGUUUUAAUCGUGAUGAGACUGGACGGCCAGUGUGCUCUCCUAAGAGCACACACAUACACACGGCGCCUCCUCCCCUAUGUCCGCUCCUUUCUCUCUCAUCAGCAGCUCAUUUGCCGAUGACAAUGUAAAGUGGAUUUUGUAAUUUUUUUUUUUUUUUUUUAAUUGUUGUAGCAAUAUGAUUGUUUUGGGAUUUCUGAUUGUUUGUGAGGGUAUCCAUGGGACUUCUGUGUUGGCAGAGCAGCGCAUACAGGACAGUUGAGCUUGUCAUUGUUGAUACAUUGAUGUUGCUAAUAAAGAGAAAGUUGAUUCAUCACCUGCUUGUAAUGUUUGUUUGAUUUACAGUACAGUAUAGCACUUUAUAUCGCGUACAAACCUUCACGAAAAUACGGAACCCAUUAUUCAUAUUUACAUUUCUUAUGGAGCAAUUUUGUUUCGCUAUUCCAACUUUUCUAUAUAUGAACCAAUCAUAAAUCGAGGUUCCACUGUACCAUAAGUCUUGAACCAGCCAGGGUAGGAUGGGCCACCAAUCGUUAUUUGAUCGGCCUCUGCCAAUGAAUGCCUUUCAAAGCCCUUUAUUUUUGAUGACUCUGCUGACCGAGGUGUUA